ACGCUGGCGGAUGUUUAACAUGCAAGUUGAGCGGCAAGCGCGGGGCAACUGGCGGCGAGCGGCGAACGGGUGAGUAAUGCAUCGGAACGUGUCAUGUCGUGGGGGAUAGCCCGGCGAAAGCCGGAUUAAUACCGCAUACGCCCGAGAGGGGAAAGUGGGGGACCGCAAGGCCUCACGCGAUUGGUUCGGCCGAUGUCGAUUAGCUAGUUGGCGGGGUAAAGGCCCACCAAGGCGGUGAUCGGUAGCUGGUCUGAGAGGAUGAUCAGCCACACUGGGACUGAGACACGGCCCAGACUCCUACGGGAGGCAGCAGUGGGGAAUUUUGGACAAUGGGGGCAACCCUGAUCCAGCCAUUCCGCGUGAGUGAAGAAGGCCUUCGGGUUGUAAAGCUCUUUUGUCCGGAACGAAACGGGUAACGUGAAUAUCGUUGCCUACUGACGGUACCGGAAGAAUAAGCACCGGCUAACUACGUGCCAGCAGCCGCGGUAAUACGUAGGGUGCGAGCGUUAAUCGGAAUUACUGGGCGUAAAGGGCGCGUAGGCGGGAUGGCAAGUCGGUCGUGAAAUCCCUCGGCUCAACUGAGGAUCGUC
rnacentral:rRNA from 1 species